rnacentral:lncRNA from 1 species
AAAAAACCCAGGUUGAAAAGGGCAACAACAUCUAACUCCAGCACUGUUUUCGGCAGUCACAGUCAAAUGGAUCGGUCAGGUCCAUAGAAUGACCAUCUUGGGUCGUAAAAUUUACUGGAUUAUGCCCACAAUAUGUUGUAAAUAGAAGCCCGACACGUUCAGAAGCUCUUUUGCCCACCUGAAACUCCUUUUUUUGCUCUUCCACAUACCCAUCCGUCAAAACCAUGCUGCUAAUAAACUUAAGCCUGAUGGACAAUAGUAACCUCGCAUUCAGCAGGAAGAAUGUGACAAAUCUAGUGUUUGCACGGUUGGCUACAUAUCGUUCUAGCGUUAUUGUCUUCAAUUGAAUCUCAUGAGAAGUGAGAAAAUGCCGAUGCUUACGAAUCCACCGAUUGGUUAUAACUUUCUUACCCUGUCAUGUUGCCUAAAUAGACAUGAAGAUUGAAAACAGUUAAGGUCUAGAAAAAAGAGUGUCGAAAGAGCAACAGCCGAACGGUUAUUCUAGUACACUAUAUGCGGGCUUCCAAUGUGCAUGAAAUUAUCACCUUUAUAUACAACUUCUCCAGACAUGAAAAGCAUUGCAGCAAGCCAAAAAUCUUGUUCAGAUCAAAACUAUUCAUUUGGAUAUAUAAGAUCUUGACCGAAUCCAGCACCAUUGAUAGGCCAUCCAUGGAGAAACUCUUCAUUGAGCAUAGAACAUAAUAUUAGUACAAAAUGUGUACUCCAAGAUGACAUAUAACUUAUGCGCAGAAAUUUAAAAUGCAGCUUAUGGUUACAAGUGUAGAUGAUAAUGUAAAGUACCUGAAGAACUGUGGAGCCAAACACCAUAUUGAAAUGAGCACAGAGAUCAUGUAUUACACCCAAGGUCUCCAGUUUAGGCGCAGAGGGGACGGUUAUUUGCAACGGUGAAUAACUAGAAUUAAGGAUCAACCUUUGAAGUGAAGGGGCAUCUUGGAUGAUGAGCUGCCUUCCGUCAAAACAAAUUCCAAUUCUUACAAGGUUAGGCGACUUUAUUUGGAGACAACCGAUUCUAACUGUGAAAAAAAGCACCAAGCACUCCAGGGCAGGGCAACUGGUGAAAGUGCGUUAUAUCGACUAGAGGGGGGGUGAAUAGGCGAUUUUUAUGAAUUCUUCACUGAGGAAUUUGCAGGUGAGGAAAUUCCUUAGCGAAGAACUACUAGCAGCGGAAUAAGUACUCAAAAGUAAACAUAACAGAACACAAGCAUGGUCAUCAUGAUGAACUGAAGAUGAGCACAGCUGUGGCACCCCGGCUCAGAGGAAACCGGAACGCCCCGUAUUCCAGCCCAGAGAUCGAGGAGAAGUCUUCUGGAAUACGGAACUGCUUAGCAUAGAACAAACCAGCUUUCUAUUAUUACACGAAUAUGAUUACAAGGUCUCCGAUAUUACAAUGAAUAACAUCGGCACGGCGACACUACGCCAUCCUCAAUUGCUCUAUGCAAGAAGUAGAACAACUCGAUGCAGCGGAAUAAUUCUAGCAGCGGAACAACAACGAUAGUGGUGAACUCCACUCCGCAGGGACUCUGGCUGGAACGCUUAUCCUAGCUCGCAAACAAAGAGCAAACAAGCAUGCAAUCCAGGCACGACCUGCAAGCUGACAUGACACGCCAGGUCAGUACAUUGAAUGUACUUGCAAGCUCACAAUUAACCAGAAGCAUCUAUUUCAUAAUAAUUAGAAACAUCCGGCCUUUAAUUAGGUGGGGCAAUUUCCAAUCAACAAACUAAGACCAUUAGAUCUUCGUAACUAGGGUGGACCCAUAACCUACGCUCCAAUCUCAUAGUCAAUCUCCCAAUCCAAAGUAUGUUAGGUCAUCUCUCACGCUAAAAAAAUGACCAUGUAAAAAAAUGUGACAUGUUGAGUCACCUCACGCUAAAAAAUAAAAUGACCAUGUAAAAAAAAUGUGACAACUAAGUCACGAUCAGGUACACAUCGAUAUGGUACACCAUAUUUAAGUGGAAUUCCUUAAAAAAAGACACAGUCAGGUUGGACGAUCCAUGAUACAUUUGCAUCGUCCUAUAACAACCAAAAUUGUCACGAUCCCAGAAAGAAAUCUAAACUAAAAAUAAUAUAUAUUUUUUGCAGGGAAAAAACUUUUUAAUUCAGUUGGCAUAUUUCCAACAACAACAACAACAAAGCCUUUUGGGUUUCAUCUCCAUAAGAGUGGUUGAGUUUUCACGUUGGCUCGCCAAGCCUAUCACAACUCUCCUCCUUUACCUGGGCUUGGGACCGGCUAUGUUGAGACAACAUAGACGAAGUUCAGUUGGCAUAUUUCCAAUAAUUAAAAAACCGAGGGAUACAAUCUCCUUUUUUUAAGCAAUAAGGGAUACAAUCUCAAUAGAAACAAACUCUCACGGUCGUGUAGAGAUACAAGGGCAGUGCUGGGCGCCGGCGCACCGGCCGAACCGUUCGGCCCCUAGCCAUUAGAUGCGCGUCUUAUCAGCCGUUUGAUCAAGCUCCUUUUUUUCUUUGUCCUCCCCGCAUCUCCCACCUCGCGCCGCCGCACGCCAGAUGCGAAAGAACCCUCCGGCCGACGACUGAGCCCCCGCUGACCCCACCCCUCCCCCGCCAUAGACGAGCUCGACGCCGGCCUCGAAGCUCACCGCCACUCCAUUCUCGCUUUCGGGGGGCAGCCCCGGUUCCCAAAAAAAAAUCCAUCGCCACCGUUGAGCAACGCCGCCAUGAAUGGAAGUAGCAAAAAUUGACUUCGGUUCCAGCAAAAUCAAACAUGAUUGUAGCAAUAAAAAAUUGACCGAAGAAAACAGGGAUGUGGCAUCUUGUGAGAAUGAAUGUAGCAAUCAUCAAUACCUGUGGUAACAAAAACUGACAAAAAGGUUGCAUCAAAAGACACAGUCGCGGGUCUCGCAUGUUCAUGGAGAUGGGAUGUAGCAAAAAUUCGACAAACAACAUAGUUGUAGCAAAAUUGUUAGCCGGUUCCAGCAAAAAUACGGUGGGAGCAGAUUUUGGGCGGGGUGGGUGGUAGCAAAAAUAUGAGUCGGUUCCAGCAAAAAUUAUCUUCGGUUCCAACAAAAUCAUAACAUGGUUGUAGCAAAAAACGACUGGAAAAACAGCGAUAUCAUGGAGAUGGAUGUAGCAUAAAUGCACAAAACACCGGUAGUAACAAAAACCAAAACGGUUGUAGCAAAAUGGUUCACCGGUUCCAGCAAAAACUAACGUGGUAGCAGAUUUUGGAUGGGUGGGUGAUAGCAAAUACAUGGGCUGGUUCCUGAAAAAACAAAGCAUGCUUGUAGCAAAUCCUGCGGCGGCGGCCAUGGACAGGAGCGCAACCAGCUGCGGUCGGCCAUGGCGACGAGCGCUGGUUGCCGCAUGGUCGCGCUGAUGGAUGAGCGGCCGCCGUGGGGCUUGGAACAAGAGACGGAGGAUGGGGACGUGGAGGUCGUUGGGCUAGAGGAGGUCACCGGCGUUGCUGGAAUUUGUGGCAACAGUAGUCGUCGGGAUUUGGGGCUCGUGCUCGUUGCGAUUUUGGGGUUGAUUUCUAGAGAUGAGAG